UUUAUAAGCUGUGUAAUAACGUUGGACAAAUUACUUAACCUCUGUGAAACUCAGUUUUCUCUUUUAUUUUAUUUUACUUUAUUUUAUUUUUUUUAGACGAGUCUCGCUCUGUCACCCAGGCUGGAGUGCAGUGGCGUGAUCUCGGCUCACUGCAACCUCUGCCUCCCGGGUUCAAGCAAUUCUCUGCCUCAGCCUCCCGAGUGGCUGGGAUUACAGGCGCCCGCCACCACGCCCAGCUAUUUUUUUUGUAUUUUUAGUAGAGACGGGGUUUCAGCAUCUUGGCCAGGCUGGUCUUGAACUCUUGACCUGGUGAUCCACCCGCCUCAGCCUCCCAAAGUGCUGGGAUUACAGGCGUGAGUCACCGCGCCCGGCCGAGUUUUCUCUUUUAUUAAAAAAAGAAAAUCAACAACAAAGUUUUGCAGGAUUGUAGUGAGUGAAUAUAAAGUAUGUGAUUCGGUAUCCGGAACAUAAAAGUUCUCAGGAAAUCACGAUUAAUAAUAAACAGUAACAAAUAAUGAUCCGUCCAAACCAAGAGAAGAUAAUCUCCUUUGGCUGUAAGAAAAUAUGACUUAAACAGCUCUUUCCUUCAAGUCCUCCUUCCCACUUUAACAGGCCACACUGUACUGAGCAUCUAGAAGGCUCUCUGCCAACAGCAGCGCCGGUUUGUUAUCUAAGUGAGUCUUGGUCAUUAAGCAAAGUCAGGGUCUUUGUUAUUGGUUUCAUCCCCACUGGCCUUGCAGAGAAAGCCCAAGCCACAGGGUACAUCUCUGCCUGCCAAUGCCCUGUAUUCCUGAAACAAAAAGGCAAUAAAAAACACGACAGUUAGUGUCAGACACGGAGCCCGGGCUUGGGAGCGGGCGGGGAGGGCUCCCUUUUCUCCUUGUUCCGCAGCACCUGUCACGGAGACGGGAGAUGGGGGCCUGGCCCGGGAUGGGCAGCCCUGCUUCCUCCUGCCCCCGCCGCGCUCCCUCCCGAGCUGCUCCGGCCCCGGCUCCCAGCAACGCGGCGGCGGCCCGCUCUGCGACUAGAAAGCGCCCAUUGAGGGCUUGCAGCUGCCAGUGCCGCUUGCCCAAAUCCGACAUAAAGCCUCGACUUCAGCUCCAGUGAAGAAGACACUACUGUGUUCUUCCUGAGCCCCAGUCAUGGCUAUAAAACAUUAAAAGCAAACUGGCGAUUGUUAAACACUGCAUUUGUUUACACCCCGAAUCUUGAAUCACAAUGGGGCAGCUUGGGCUGCCCAGGCCCGGCGAGGCCGGGCUUUCUCCUAGACACUGAAGUCUGUUCUCCGACCCAAGGGACACAAGAAAAGCUGGAGUAAAGUGGCAUGAUCUCGGCUCACUGCAGCCUCCGCCCCCGCCAGGUUCAAGUGAUUCUCCUGCCUCAGCCUCCCGAGUAGCUGGGAUUACAGGCGCAGGCCACCAUGCCCAGAAAGAACAUGCUCAGAAGCCCAGUCAGCAGCAGGAAGGAGUGUGGUGAUUUUGAGGAACCGAAAGAAGACCAGCAUGGCUGGAGAACAGAGGAUGGGGGUGUGAUAUGUGACGAGCGAAGAGAAGUCACCCGUACUUCAUUUACCAGUCCUUGCUAAGGAUUAUUCAUUAAAACACACAACAGCAACAAUAACCACAAAAGCAACAAUAAAAAUACCUUUGAACUCACUCAAUCUUGAACUAUUGAACAUGCUAAGUCCGUGUCAUUGGCCUACUUAAUCAGCCCUCGAUUGUAACUUGAAGAAGCUUAUUGAUAAGAAAAUAAACUUCUCAUAAAGUAUAACUACUUUCUU
rnacentral:lncRNA from 1 species